UACGGAGGGUGCGAGCGUUGUUCGGAAUCACUGGGCGUAAAGCGCGUGUAGGCGGCCUGCUAAGUCUGAUGUGAAAGCCCGAGGCUCACCCUCGGAAGUGCAUUGGAAACUGGCAGACUGGAGUCCCGGAGAAGAGGGUGGAAUUCCUGGUGUAGCGGUGAAAUGCGUAGAUAUCAGGAGGAACACCGGUGGCGAAGGCGGCCCUCUGGACGGUGACUGACGCUGAGACGCGAAAGCGUGGGGAGCAAACAGG
rnacentral:rRNA from 1 species